GAGUUCCUGUGGCCCACAGAGGCUAUGGCAAAUCUGCAGAUCUCUGGAGCUCAAAACAGGUGCACACUGCCUAAGGUCAGCCUUCCCUUUAGUCAGCCACCCCCUCUGAUGUGAUGUAUUUGAGAAAGAGGGGUUUUCUGCUAAGCAGAGGCCUCACUGUUUUGCCUGUCCCUGAACUGGCUGCUCCACACCCCUCAGGGCAAAACUGCUGCAGCUGCAGCAAGCCCUGCAAGAAGUAAGAGGGACCAAAGGCUUCUACUUCCCAGCUCAGCCCUGACUGACCUGACUCUCCUUAUCUCCAACAUCAAAGCUGUCUGGCAUUCAAGUUUUCCUCAUCCCCUGGAAGCCAUGGAGAGAAAAAUCCAUCCCUAACCAAGGACCCACCCACCCAUGACGGCUUCCUGCAUUUCCCGUAUACUUCUCAGGUCUGAAUUAAGCAGCCUGGAAUAACUGCCAGGUGGGCUCUGGCCCCCACCCACAGACACGUGCCCUUCCAAGGCCUCAUGGGCAGUAGGAGUUGUGAAUAUACCCUUCAGUCUUUGAAAAAUCCAAAACAUUUGUGGAGCCACAUAUCUCACAAGGACAAAUAUUCAUUCUCAAAGGAAGACACAGUCUUCGCACCCACAGGGAAGAGCUGAAUUAUUUUCCUAUCUGCCCUGUAAUCUGCUCACUGGGAAGUUAGUAGCUGACAGCAUCUGUAGAACCUUCAAACAGUGCCCACUCACAGGACUACCAGACAUAGGAGGAGCAUUUACUACUGGACUAAGACCCAGAAGAAGCUUUGAAAUUCCCUCCGACGGACAUCCACACCCUUCUUAUGCAGGGCCUCCUCUGUGAAGCUGGUUUCCUGCAAGUGAUGGUUCACUCUUUGCGUACCUUCGCCCUCCCGGCUUUCAGCGGAGGCGUUUCCACCUAUGAGAGAGUCGUCGGUGUUAACCUCUGUUCUACUGACCAUCUUGCCCCCACCUCGUCAGCCCGUCGGCGGAGAACAUCUCAUGGCGGCUGUUGAGGGAACCAACUCAGGACCUUGCGCUUGCAAGGCAGGCGGCGGAACCACUGCCCUCAAUCCCUGGCUAAAUCCCCGGCCCUGUUUGGUUUUUUUUAAGAAGAAGAUUUUGCUUCAUAGCCAGCUCAGUUCUCAAGAGUCUCUACCCACCUCGCCUUACGGGCCCAAAAGAGCUGGCAGAAUCCAUAGACUUCAGUUUCUCUGAAGAUGAUGAUGCCCACAGACGGUGUCUUCAGGAAGCUCUUAAACGAAGAUGAUAAGAAUCCAGAACCAAAGCAUCCGAGACUCGGUGUCUAGUUAUUCCAAGUGUCUUACCCCACAAACAACAGUGUAUUUGCUCCAAAGAAACAAGAUACUAAGAAUAAUAAGGAGGAAUAUGCUAAAAUUGUAUCCAAGAGAAUGAAAGAAGUCAAGAAAAAUGCCAGGAGCAGAUUACCAAGAGAAACUGGCUAUUAUAGUUUAUAUGUAGAUGUCCCUCCCCAAAGUCUCAUGCCCUCAUAGGUAGGACUUUGGGGAGGUGAUUGUAUUGUGGGGAACUACACUUACCAGCAAAUCAGUCUGCCAAUGAGUUUAUAGUAAAUGUGAGGCUGGGAGGUGGAGCCCGGUCAGAGAAGGUGGGUCACUGAGGGUGUGGCCUCGAAGGAUCUAUUGCCUUCCCCCACUCAGUCUCUUCACUCUCUCUGCUCCCCCCACCCCACGCUAUGAGCAGCUCUCCUUUGUCAUGCCUGUCUGCCAUGCCACCCUGCCUUAGAGCUAACUGACUAUUACCUGAAACUUCUUCUCCUUUAAGUUGCAAGUGUCAGGUAUGAUAGAUCAGCAAGGAGGAACGUGACUAAAACAGCUGUCCUUUCCGAGAGAGAUUUUACAUCUGAGUUCCCAAAAAAUUAAGAAUCUUUAAGGGUAACAACAACAACAACAUAAGGUCACACCUAAAAAAAAAAAAAAAAAAAAAAAAAACUACUAUGAGAUAUGACUAUGAGGUACCCACACCAAUAUAGCUAAAUUUAAAAGUCUAAUAAGAAAAGCAAUAGAAACUCUC
ensembl:lincRNA